rnacentral:rRNA from 1 species
GAUGAACGCUGGCGGCGUGCCUAAUACAUGCAAGUCGAGCGGACGGACGAGAAGCUUGCUUCUCUGAUGUUAGCGGAGGACGGGUGAGUCACGCGUGGAUAACCUCCCUAUCAGUCUGGGAUAACUUGGGGAAACCGGAGAUAAUACCGGAGAAUAUUUUGAACCGCAGGGUUGAAAAGUAAAAGUCGGUCUUGCUGUCACUACUCGAUGGUUCUGCGCUGCAUUAGGUAGUAGGUACGGUAACGGCUUACCAAGGGAACGAUGCGUAGCCGACCUGCGGGGGUGAUCGGCCGCACUGGAGCUGGGACACGGUCCAGGCUCCUGCGGGAGGGAGCAGUCGGGUAUGGUCCGCAAUGGGCGAAAGCCUUGCGGAGUAACGGCGCGUGUGUGAUGGAGGUGCUCGGAGCGUAAUACCCUGUUAUGAGGGAAGAACAGAUGUGGAAGUAACUGUGGACAGCGUGACGGUACCUAAUCAGGAAGCCACGGCUAACUACGUG